AUACGGAGGGUGCAAGCGUUAUCCGGAUUCAUUGGGUUUAAAGGGUGCGCAGGCGGACUUGUAAGUCAGUGGUGAAAUCCCGGUGCUCAACCUCGGAACUGCCAUUGAUACUGCAAGUCUUGAGUUUGGUUGAAGUGGGCGGAAUGUAGCAUGUAGCGGUGAAAUGUAUAGAUAUGCUACAGAACACCGAUCGCGAAGGCAGCUCACUAAACCAACACUGACGCUCAGGCACGAAAGCGUGGGGAGCGAACAGGAUUAGAAACCCCGGUAGUCC
rnacentral:rRNA from 1 species